GCUACUGGAUCCACACAAAUCUAACAUCUCAAACUCCCAAACACGAUUCUCUUCUUCUCUCUUUCAUUAUCCCUUUCUUACUCUCUUCUCUUUUGCUUUCAGGGUCAGGUACAAGAGUUAUGGGGAAAAUCUGAGAUGGAGGCACUAGUUUUCUAAGGUUGUUGACAGAAGAUAGAGAGCACUGAUGAUGAUAUGCAUGUUACUAUAUAUAUAUAUAUAGAGAGAGAGAGAGCAGAAAAUGAUGAUGAAUUGUGCAUUUCACUCCUUUGUGCUCUCUAUACUUCUGUCAUCACCUUCGGCCUCCAUUUCUCAUUCCCCCUCGUUUAUCUCUACUGCAACUGAUACAGAAAUUCAUGAAAUAAUUGAAUGAGCAAGUUCAUAUAUAAUUUGAUAUGUUCUCCCUGGAAUCUAACUAGCCCCUUUUCUCUUCUGAUUGCAGCUGUUAAAAUUACACAACACAAGGCUUUAAAAAACAGUUCAUGACUCUGAGAUUUGGCCGCAUCAAUGGAGUGUCUCAGACUCUUAUAUAUCCUAAAUUUUUUGCAGUAUCAUAAAAUGAUGAAACGAAAUUACAUAAUUGAGGCCAACAGUAUAUUAAUCAACCUUAAUUUGUGUUUUGCAGUUAGACGCGUGUUGGACACAACUGUUUGUUGAUGGCAUGAGAGAGUAAGAAUGAGAAACAGAAACUGAUAAAGGAUUUAGCUUUUCUGAAUGUAGCAGAAGUUGGUUUAUGGAAGAAGGAGCACAUGCAAUUGGAAGAAAAUAUGUGGGGUCCCAUGACAUAAUAUUGUAGGGCACAUAGAUACUAAAUUUCGAAGGUGGUAGAAAAAAUGAUGUAUAGUGGUAUUGCAAUGGAACAUAGAAGGCAUAAAUGGUAAACGAUGUGAAGAAGAAAGAGUGAAAUAUGACUUGUCUUGGCUGCAAUGCAAGAAACAUGAAAUUAAUGAAAAUAUUGUCCAAUUUUGUAGACCUACACUGCUUUAAAGAUAUUGCUCAUUGGGAAGAAAAUUUGUUAUUUUGA